GAAUUUCGGUUAUCGAUGGGGAUGCGUUCCAUUAGGCAGUUGGUGAGGUAACGGCUCACCGAACCUUCGAUGGAUAGGGGUUCUGAGAGGAAGGUCCCCCACAUUGGAACUGAGACACGGUCCAAACUCCUACGGGAGGCAGCAGUGAGGAAUAUUGGUCAAUGGGCGCAGGCCUGAACCAGCCAAGUAGCGUGAAGGAUGACUGCCCUAUGGGUUGUAAACUUCUUUUAUAUGGGAAUAAAGUUUUCCACGUGUGGAAUUUUGUAUGUACCAUAUGAAUAAGGAUCGGCUAACUCCGUGCCAGCAGCCGCGGUAAUACGGAGGAUCCGAGCGUUAUCCGGAUUUAUUGGGUUUAAAGGGAGCGUAGGUGGACAGUUAAGUCAGUUGUGAAAGUUUGCGGCUCAACCGUAAAAUUGCAGUUGAUACUGGCUGUCUUGAGUACAGUAGAGGUGGGCGGAAUUCGUGGUGUAGCGGUGAAAUGCUUAAUAUCACGAAGAACUCCGAUUGCGAAGGCAGCUCACUGGACUGCAACUGACACUGAUGCUCGAAAGUGUGGGUAUCAAACAGGAUUAGAUACCCUGGUAGUCCACACAGUAAACGAUGAAUACUCGCUGUUUGCGAUAUACAGUAAGCGGCCAAGCGAAAGCAUUAAGUAUUCCACCUGGGGAGUACGCCGGCAACGGUGAAACUCAAAGGAAUUGACGGGGGCCCGCACAAGCGGAGGAACAUGUGGUUUAAUUCGAUGAUACGCGAGGAACCUUACCCGGGCUUAAAUUGCAUUUGAAUAUAUUGGAAACAGUAUAGCCGUAAGGCAAAUGUGAAGGUGCUGCAUGGUUGUCGUCAGCUCGUGCCGUGAGGUGUCGGCUUAAGUGCCAUAACGAGCGCAACCCUUAUCUUUAGUUACUAACAGGUCAUGCUGAGGACUCUAGAGAGACUGCCGUCGUAAGAUGUGGGGAAGGUGGGGAUGACGUCAAAUCAGCACGGCCCUUACGUCCGGGGCUACACACGUGUUACAAUGGGGGGUACAGAAGGCAGCUACCUGGUGACAGGAUGCUAAUCCCAAAAGCCUCUCUCAGUUCGGAUCGAAGUCUGCAACCCGACUUCGUGAAGCUGGAUUCGCUAGUAAUCGCGCAUCAGCCAUGGCGCGGUGAAUACGUUCCCGGGCCUUGUACACACCGCCCGUCAAGCCAUGAAAGCCGGGGGUACCUAAA
rnacentral:rRNA from 1 species